rnacentral:rRNA from 1 species
GGGGGUUUCCCAACCCUUAUUUUGUGGGUCCCCCCGGGUUUUCCCCCCCCGCGGGUUAAAAACCGGCCCCCCAUAUUUUUAUCCGCCCCCCUUAGGGGGGAAUUAAUUUGGGGGGCGGGAUAUUCCCCUUUGUCCAAGAGCCCGGGGAAUUCCCGCCCCAAAGGGGUUUUAAAAGUGUGGCGUUUAAAAAAUUGUUAUUAAAUUUGGGGCCCUAAGGCCGGUUCCCCUUCUGGGGGGGACCUUGUCAUCGGGGGGUUACCCCCGGGGGAAUUUGGAGUCCUUUACUGGGUGUCAGAGCAAACCAGGACGUUUACUUUGAAAAAAUUAGAGUGUUCAAAGCAGGCCUACGCCCGAAUACAUUAGCAUGGAAUAAUAGAAUAGGACGCGCGUUCCCAUUUUGUUGGUUUCUGAGAUCGCCGUAAUGAUUAAUAGGGAUAGUUGGGGGCAUUUGUAUUCCGUCGUCAGAGGUGAAAUUCUUGGAUUGCCGGAAGACAAACUACUGCGAAAGCAUUUGCCAAGGAUGUUUUCAUUGAUCAAGAACGAAGGAAGGGGGAUCGAAAACGAUCAGAUACCGUUGUAGUCUCUUCUGUAAACUAUGCCAAUUGGGGAUUAGCACAGGAUUUUCAAUGACUGUGUUAGCACCCGAAGAGAAAUCUUUAAAUGAGGUUCGGGGGGGAGUAUGGUCGCAAGGCUGAAACUUAAAGGAAUUGACGGAAGGGCACCACCAGGUGUGGAGCCCUGCGGCUUAAUUUGACUCAACACGGGGAAACUCACCAGGUCCAGACACAAUAAGGAUUGACAGAUUGAUAGCUCUUUCUUGAUCUUGUGGUUGGUGGUGCAUGGCCGUUCUUAGUUGGUGGAGUGAUUUGUCUGGUUAAUUCCGAUAACGAACGAGACCUUAACCUGUAAAAGAACCACCGAUUUUGGUUACGGCGGUUUUUUUUAAGGCACAUUCCCGUUUUAUUUAAGGGAAUUUUGGGCAAAUACAGGUUUGUGAGUCCCAGGGCAAUUUUUUUUAACCGGGGGAAAUUCCCUUUUGGGGGGGUAUUUUCUAGAUUGGGGAAAAAGGGGCAAAAUUUUUCUUGGGGAAAAUUUUUUCCCCCCCCAUUCCCAAAAAAAAGGGGGGGA